GCCUGGAAUAGGAAGAUCGAGAGGGCCUAAGAACAGUAGGAAUGGGAACAUGGAGGAAAGCCUUACCUAUUUGUUUCCUCCUCUAUCUACAGAGGUAGAAGCUUGGUUUGGUAUUUCCCGAUGACUCCCACUCCUUUCGUUCUUAAGCACUCCUUCCUUUUCCUUAUGGCU
rnacentral:pre_miRNA from 2 species